UAAAAGACAGUGGAGCGUCCAAAUAGCCUGACAGCUCCAAGGGGGAAUUCAGCUUGGAGACACAUGCACCUUAUUCUGAUGGCUUGAAGGCUUAGCAAACUUCCUAAUCAGAGACACAGUGGAAACAUCAGAGAACAGACAUUCCCUAGGGAUACUCUCAAGGAAGGUGCAGUGCCUGGAGACAUGUGACAGAGCCUUCUGGACUCUGAAGGACCAGCUGACCCUGCCAAUUUGGUUUCAGCCUGACUUAUCAUAGGUGUUCAUCCUCAGAUGGAUAAGAAAGAAAGAAAGAAAGAAAGAAAGAAAGAAAGAAAGAAAGAAAGAAAGAAAGAAAGAAAGAAAGAAAGAAGCCAUAAUGUACACAGGGAAGACCAUAACCACCCCCAGCUGGAAGGAGAAAGGAAGAUUGAAUAUGGGUAGGUUUGUGAGUAGGCUUGUCCAAUGUUGGCAUAUUUCUUUGAGAACUUUUAUUGUAUUGAUUUGACUCUGUGCACAGAGUAUGUGUAUGUUUUUAUUUUCUACAAAGCUAAAACCAUGUCAGAUUAAAUGACAAAUGAAAUGGCCAUCAGUUUUCAUGUAAAUGCAUAUGAAGUUUUGACAAUGAGGGUUGUUAUACUGACCUAUACAUACAGCUCUCAGGCCCUAGGUACCACCCCAUCAAAAAACAUUAAUGAAUUGACAGAAAUUCAGAGAAAAACAACAGUUAAUAAAGGCGUAAAGGCAAUGAGUUAUGUGGAAAGAUUUAUGAAAAAAUAUGUAUUGUUUAGUAUAAUUAUUAAAUAUAACCACCAUGCAAGAAUGUGAAAGAUUUAAAUACCAAGA